CAGCCGCCGCGGUAAUACGUAGGUGGCAAGCGUUGUCCGGAAUUAUUGGGCGUAAAGGGCUCGCAGGCGGUUUCUUAAGUCUGAUGUGAAAGCCCCCGGCUCAACCGGGGAGGGUCAUUGGAAACUGGGAAACUUGAGUGCAGAAGAGGAGAGUGGAAUUCCACGUGUAGCGGUGAAAUGCGUAGAGAUGUGGAGGAACACCAGUGGCGAAGGCAACUCUCUGGUCUGUAACUGACGCUGAGGAGCGAAAGCGUGGGGAGCGAACAGGAUUAGAUACCCCUGUAGUCCCUGUCUCUUAUAC
rnacentral:rRNA from 1 species